CCUGCUCUUCCCCGCACUCCCUUUGAGCCGCACUCCCAAAUCAGAACCCCACGCUCGCGAGCGUCCUCAUCCCUGGGCCAAUACCGACGUUCAUCUAUGAGGCAAGGCUAAUCGAUGCUAGGCCAGGAAAGAAUUGGCGUCCUAAUCUGAGGGGAAAGGAGGCAGCCGGGUGGGGAUUUUGAUCCAAGUUUCAGAGUUGAGGUGUUUGGGGCAAGAAAAAAAUUCAGCCGAUCCGUUGACCGGAGCUGCAGCCGCUCGUAACAAAAGGUUCAUCCCCGGCGGCGGCGGUCCGAUUCGAGACCUCGAGGCGGUUGCCCAGGCCGGCGGCGUUAAUAGGCGAAGGAGGAGUCUGCGGCCAGUGCCAAUGAUUUCAUUCACACCGUGGUAGCAGAUUCUCGUCAUGAAAAGAGCAUCCUCAACAGGAUGUCUUCCCUUCCUGGUGCGGUUCAGGGAGUACGGGCUGGUCUUACGGGUGGUGGCAGCCCCUGCUGUGUACGCUGGUCAGUGCAAGCAAAAGAAGAGUCCCAUCUGGACUGAAACAGUCAAGCACCACAUCGCUAAGCUAACAUGCCGUCAGAUAUAUAGCAUUCCUUAUGUCUUAUUUUGACUGUUAGUUUCGGAGAACCAAUUCCGGAGUACCUACAAGGAAGAAGAUGUGGAGAAGCUUGCAAGGAAGCUAGCUGACGUGCAGGUUGAGGUCGACAAAUUGAAGGCAGAGAACAAGAUGUUGCAUACAAAUCACAUAGAAGAUAUGAGAAAUAGGGAUAACAAAGAAAUGGCUUUCCUCUGUGUAGUUGGUAGUUGUGUAAUGCUGUAGUAUGUCUAUAAUGAGUGCAAUUUACCUGAAUAUAUUGUAAAUGUUGG